CUCCUACUCUGAUUGAACAGUUGGAUGAUCAGACUGAUGAUGAAAAGUGCUACACAGUUCUCACACAUCUUCUACCUCCGAAGCCGCUGCAGUGUAAAAUCUGAGAUGUCUUUUCUGGUUGAUUUUGUGCAGAUUUCUGACAGCGACAGCGAUGGUGAGGGAAGCAGUGUACCGAACUCUCAGAUGACUCGGACCAGGUGACCAAACCCAUGCAAAACACAAUGACUGUGCUGAGGCGUUCCGCCCCCCUCCCCCUCCACACCACUCAAGGCACGGCGGCGGCCCAACCGCAAACUAACGGAGAUUAACAAGAGGCUGGAUGCUGCGUCCAUCACCAGAGGGGCCGGGAUUGCUGCGGCAGCUAGCCAAUUAAAGGAGGAGGAUGAAGGAGAGGAGUCUGACGAUGCAGACAUCGCCAUCGUAUGCAGGCCACGCCCUCGCAGGAAAACCAGCCAAUGAAAACGCUCGCAGCAGCAUCAGCAGAACACACCGGCACGACUGGUAAACUUAAAGAUACGCCACAGACCAGACAUACACCAAAUACAACUAGCACAGACAGAGCUUCUGAAGCAUGCAGUGGAAGAGCUGUCAGUCAAGCUAAAGGUCCCGCCCUCCAACCUGCUGCUGCUGCACGGAGAGGCGGAACUUAACACCUCACACACUAUUGGCCAGCUAGGACUCUGCAUCGCUGACAUCAUUGUCUGGAACCAACUUCACAUCCCUCUUCACUGCACUACUGACACUGAGAUGGAAUCCACAACCCAACCACUAGUGGUCUGCAUUGGGAACCUUAAGAGUCUGUCAUCACCGCCAGGAAUGACCGCGUGACCAUUCCCGUUGCAGACGGCCUGACUUGCACAAUUGACAAGCUGUUCAAGCUUUACUGGGUCUGCAACUUGUCAUAUCCAGCACAGCUCAGCUCUGUUUUCACCUUCUUUGAAUAUGUUUAUGACGUUCCAUCUCAACCAACAAACGACCAAAGGUACUAGAACUUCUCUCAAAGCUUCCCAGCAACCCAGUGAUCACUCAACAUGUGUUUAUGCCCAAAAUGUAAAUAGUUACUACAGACCUCAAGAAAGUAGUUUGGCAUCUUUGUCAAGUACACGCUUUGUCAGAUGCACAGGGCAUGACGAUAAUUUGCAGCCAAGAUGGCUGUUCAAGUGUACAAGGACUUACUACGUAGACACCACCAGUCCACAACAACAGA